ACACCUGAGUUUCGAGAAGUUUGAACUACCUCAGUGGGGAAUUUGAUAUAUGUAAAAGAUCUUAGCAUUCUGCGUGUAAGAUAAUUUCAAUAGAAGCAUCUGCUACUAGUUCUAGUUAGAUUUGCUAAAUAUUUACUAACUAAUUGCACAUGAUCUGUUUCAUGAUUGUGGAAGUACAGCAGCAUAGUUUCUCUGAGCUAAUUGUAAACAAGGCAGGGGGUGAAAGUGGACCGCUUUUUCAUUUUUAUGUACAUGAGGAUGUGCGGACAAUUGCCGAUGCUACAAUAGAGAAGGAUGAGGUUAUCAAUAAGAGUGGAGCUACUCCAGCAAUAGUGUGUGAUAGUUGUAAAUGAGAAGCUUUGUGAUUGUCUCCCAAUUUGUUGACAUAGAUGAGAUGUCUUGAGUGAGAUAAUGUAAACUUGAGUUACUAAUCUUUAUGGAAUUUUCAAUAUGUAAUUACUACUUUGAUUUAUAAUAAAAGUGAUUCAUUUACUCAUA